rnacentral:rRNA from 1 species
UACGUAGGGACCGAGCGUUGUCCGGAAUCAUUGGGCGUAAAGAGCGUGUAGGUGGCUACUUAAGUCCUGCGUGAAAUCUUGCGGCUCAACCGCAAGCGGUCGUGGGAAACUGGGUGGCUAGAGUGCGGGAGAGGAGAGUGGAAUUCCUGGUGUAGCGGUGGAAUGCGCAGAUAUCAGGAGGAACACCCGUGGCGAAGGCGGCUCUCUGGAACGCAACUGACGCUGAGACGCGAAAGCGUGGGGAGCAAACAGG